ACCAUGUCCGAUCUUUCCUCAAAACAAAUUUCACUCUCUUCCCUCCCCCAGCAAUCCUUUGCUCCAAACACAUCCCCAAAAUCAAAACCCCCAAAAUCAAAACCAUCCUCUCCAUUCACGACUUUGAAGGUUUUGACAGUGAUGAAAAUCUUUGUAUUCCCAUUGAUUUGCAGAUGGGACAUCGAUCCCCUCCGCCUCUCUACGACUUCGAGGUGAUCGAGCUCAACCUCUACAACGAUUCUCCGCUCUCUAUUCUCUGCUGUGCCCUUUGAAGAAGAUGACAAGGACCCAAGUAUCUGGUUUCUUGAUCACAACUACCAUGAAGCCAUGUAGUCUAUGUCGGAAAGAAUUAACCGUACUACUAAUUAUAUUUGUCUAUGUUCGUUUAUUUCAUGUACAAGAUAUACUUUGAGAUCGAUUUCUUUUGGUGAGUGACUCAGUGUUUGUUUUCAUUCAAUCAUUUAUUAGGAAACUUUGGAGCCUGGUAAUGUUGUUGAGUGUUAACUCAUUGGUUUUGUUGGGGGUAUAACAUGCCAAUUUGGUUAUUCCUUGUUGUUAUGUUUAUUUUUUUCAAUUGAAAUUCAGCAGAUUGUAGGCAAGAUGUAACUGACAUGUGUUUCUGAUUUUGUGUUUCAUUCUAAAUUUGAUUCUUUAAUUUUGAUUCUGUAAAUUGAUAUUUUAGUUCAGCUUUUGAUUCAUUGAUGUUUUGCAGCAAGAGAACCCAGCCAAAAUUGCAUAUAGUUAUAAUAAAAUUACAUUCAGCCCAUCUACUCUACUUUUUCUCUGUAAGUGUCAAUGAUUAUUGGUUGAGUGCAUAUGCAUUAGCAGGUUGCAUAUAUAAUUCUUUGUGUUUAUAGUUUUUUCACUUGCAUGGUCAUGUUGCUAACUAUUCACAUUGAUUUGAGCUUGAUUAAUCCAUUUAGUUUUUCUGUUGGGUGACUACUAUUCACUUUGCUUCAUACAGAUGGUUGAUGAUUUACAUCCUAAAACAAUAUAUGCUUCUUGAGGAUUGUAUGAGGUUGACCCUUAUUAAUUCUAUCACUAGUAUUUAUUAUACUUAACUCAUGAAAUUGUAGUGCAUAUUGCCUCUUUUGUAGCUUUACUUCUAACAUUCACAAGUUUUGUAAUCCUUCGUUUUAUUUUAGUUUUGCAGCCAUAAUGAGAUUUGCCAAUGUCUAUCAAUCAUACAUUGUUUUAGCUUCCGUAGACCGACAUCUUUUCUCUGUCAUUAUUUCCACUUAGCCAACAAUUGUGAAUUUGUGGAGGAACUUAAACAUUCCAAUAAUGUACUUGUCGUACGGCGCCGUGUUCUCACGCGUUGUGCAGCAGAAGCGGGUAGCGCAGCAGGAGGCAGAGAGGUCUAAGUGGGCAAGGCCGAGCAGGAGAGGAGGGCUGCGAUCAUCAGGGCUCAAGGAGAGAGUGAGGCUGCCAAGCUGAUUCGGAGGCGACUGCUUCGGCUGGGAAUGACCUGAUUGAGCUGAGGAGGAUUGGGACCAGCAGAGAGAUUGCGGCCACGCUCGCCAAGUCGCCGAAUAUGAGCUACUUGCCUAAGGGGAACUAUGUCCUCUUUGGCCUCGGUCGUUGAAGGUAAUGCCUUCUAAUUCACCUCAGUCGAUUAUGUUAGGCUUGUACUUCAAUUUGUUGUUUCAGUCGAUUAUGUUAUGCUUUGGUUUUCUAUACAUUUGCUUGACUUUGAGUUGAGAUUUGAAGAUUAUACAGCAACACCCUAUAUAUGUUUUCAUUGUGAAUUGAUAACUGAUUGGCAUGCAUCUUUGUUAUGUCGGACUACGGUAUCUGCAUGUGGGUUUUCAGUGUUGUACGUUGCCAAGAGUAGUUUUUUGGUAUUGAAGUCUGGCGUAGUCCUUUUUCUUCAAGGUUUAUGCAUUCAGAUAUUCCACAUUUAAUUCAGGUUUUCUGAGUACUUGUUAGUUUACUUUCAAAAAACAUUAUGCCAUCUUUUGUAGGCUAUUUCAAGUAACAUGCUUCUGUUGUAUAGGUGACUGUUAUCGAUUCUAUUCUUUAUCUAAAUAUGAUCACCUAUGUUUUCAUCCUUAAUGCAUGUCAGUUUGUUAGGAAUUAGUGUUUUUCAUGUAAUUGUGUCAUAUUUCAUGCAGUUAUAGAUAAACAACAAUACUAACUAGUAGAGAAGGUCAUGAAGGGUCUGGGAUAUUAGGAUGCUUGAUGAUGAUUGAGAGACUAAAUGCUAACCAUCUUUAUGUUGGCUCAACUGAUGGUAAGUGUCCUACUGUUUUUGAGUUUUUAUUUUAGAUUUCAUUCCAGUACUUUUCCCAUUACUAAGUACCUUUACAUUAUAAAAUUGGCUUAGAAAAUAAACUCUUUCUUAAAACAAUUGUAGCUAGUAUCAAUUAAAUUCAUCCAUCUUCAUCAAUAAUUGAUUGAGAUCUUUUUCUCUCUUUGAAUGUUUCAUUUACACCCUCACAUGGGAUGGGGCAAUCAUUUAUAUAUUAUCUUACUCAUAAUCAAUGGUGUAUCUCUGUGUGGUUUAUACGCAUAAAGAAUAUUACGAACACAAGACAAUAUAAAGCUUGGAGGAAUGCACCAACAUAAGGCAGAUCAGUUUGUCUUGUAAUAGAACUGUCAUUCAAGAUUCUGAGUUAACUGACAUUUGUUCCUUUCUUUUAGUUGAUUGCAGUUCAAGUUGUAUUCAUACAUAAGAAUGUUCUAUAGACUGGAAUAUUGAUUGGUACAAUGACAUGCCUCUGUUUGUUAUUUGAGUUUUAAUAUGAUCACUUAUAUGCCUCAUGCUUGAAUGAUUCGAUCAAAACAUCGGAAUUGAUGGAAAGUUUCUCUAUUUUUAUUUGCAAAAACUUAGUGAGCUUCCAAACAUUAAAGGAGUUUGUGCAUCCCCCUAAAGCUCAGCGUCUCAUAGUCAAUUUACUAGUUACUGAUGGACAAAGUUUGUACCAACUUGACCACAAUUUAUAAUUACUAGUUAUGUGUGUUUAGGCAAGAUAAUGUAACAAUAUUUGAUGGAGAUUUGAUUCUGAUUAUAUAUAUAUAUUAUGAAUUGGUAUAUGCAUGUUGUUGGUUUAGGUCUGAAUUGGUUCAGAUGGAUUUGUAAUCUGUUGGGACAAUAUGGCAAAUUUAAACUAUUGUCUAGCAAUUCCAUUUCUAAAAUAAAACCAUUGUCUAUAGAUAGGAAAACAAUAGUGUCUCAAACCUUGAAAAUUAAAAAGCAUUGUUAGAAUGACCUAUACGACAAUAGAUUUUAAAGAAAAAAACAUUGUAUGGACACCAUAUAGUCAAUAGUAUAGGAGAAUAACCAUUGUCUUCUGUCAUUUAGACCAUGUAAUGCUUAGUCUGUAUCAUUGUAAAACAUAAC